rnacentral:rRNA from 1 species
UACGUAGGGUGCGAGCGUUAAUCGGAAUUACUGGGCGUAAAGCGUGCGCAGGCGGUUUUGUAAGACAGAGGUGAAAUCCCCGGGCUUAACCUGGGAACUGCCUUUGUGACUGCAAGGCUUGAGUGCGGCAGAGGGGGAUGGAAUUCCGCGUGUAGCAGUGAAAUGCGUAGAUAUCAGGAGGAACACCGAUGGCGAAGGCAGCUUGCUGGGACGGUACUGACGCUGAGACGCGAAAGCGUGGGGAGCAAACAGG